GCCUAACACAUGCAAGUCGAACGGAGCCAUCUAAACAAUCCCUUCGGGGUGCGUUUGGGGAAGCUUAGUGGCGGACGGGUGAGUAACGCGUGAGUAACCUGCCUUUCAGAGGGGGAUAACGUUUCGAAAGGAACGCUAAUACCGCAUAACGUAUUUUUACCGCAUGAUAGUGAUACCAAAGAUUUAUCGCUGAAAGAUCGGCUCGCGUCUGAUUAGCGAGUUGGAGGGGUAACGGCCCACCAAGGCGACGAUCAGUAGCGGAACUGAGAGGUUGAUCGGCCACAUUGGGACUGAGACACGGCCCAGACUCCUACGGGAGGCAGCAGUGGGGGAUAUUGCGCAAUGGGGGAAACCCUGACGCAGCAAUGCCGCGUGAAGGAAGAAGGUCUUCGGAUCGUAAACUUUUGUCUUCAGGGACGAUAAUGACGGUACCUGAGGAGGAAGCCACGGCUAACUACGUGCCAGCCGCCGCCGUAACAC
rnacentral:rRNA from 1 species